GCCGGCUAGCUCAGUUGGUAGAGCAUCUGAUUGUAAUCAGAGGGUCGCGUGUUCAAGUCAUGUAGCCGGCA
rnacentral:tRNA from 1 species